UUUCCGUAGGUGAACCUGCGGAAGGAUCAUUAACAAAAAAAUAAAAUGCACCUUAGGAUGAACCCGGAGAAGAAAUUCAAAGGGUUUUUCCUUAAGCACACAGUGAACUUUGUAACAGUUUCUAACAAGAUCUACCAAUCUAAAUUUAUUUAGAAAGGUAGUUUCUCUUUAAAAACAAACUUGUUUAAUUUAUUGUGUCUUAUCCUUCUUAAAAUAAAUUGGUUUUAGGACCUUGUUGGAAAGACUAUUUAAAUCAAAAGUAACAACUUUUAACAACGGAUAUCUUGGCUCUU
rnacentral:misc_RNA from 1 species